AGCGAACGCUGGCGGCAGGCCUAACACAUGCAAGUCGAACGAAGUCUUCGGACUUAGUGGCGGACGGGUGAGUAACACGUGGGAACGUGCCUUUAGGUUCGGAAUAACUCAGGGAAACUUGUGCUAAUACCGAGUGUGCCCUUCGUGGGAAAGAUUUAUCGCCUUUAGAGCGGCCCGCGUCUGAUUAGCUAGUUGGUGAGGUAAAGGCUCACCAAGGCUACGAUCAGCAGCUGGUCUGAGAGGAUGACCAGCCACAUUGGGACUGAGACACGGCCCAAACUCCUACGGGAGGCAGCAGUGGGGAAUCUUGCGCAAUGGGCGAAAGCCUGACGCAGCCAUGCCGCGUGGAUGAUGAAGGUCUUAGGAUUGUAAAAUCCUUUCACCGGUGAAGAUAAUGACUGUAGCCGGAGAAGAAGCCCCGGCUAACUUCGUGCCAGCAGCCGCCGUAAUAC
rnacentral:rRNA from 1 species